rnacentral:rRNA from 1 species
GAUUAGAGUUUGAUCCUGGCUCAGAUUGAACGCUGACGGCAGGCCUAACACAUGCAAGUCGAGCGGUAGCACAGAGAGCUUGCUCUCGGGUGACGAGCGGCGGACGGGUGAGUAAUGUCUGGGAAACUGCCUGAUGGAGGGGGAUAACUACUGGAAACGGUAGCUAAUACCGCAUAACGUCGCAAGACCAAAGUGGGGGACCUUCGGGCCUCAUGCCAUCAGAUGUGCCCAGAUGGGAUUAGCUAGUAGGUGGGGUAAUGGCUCACCUAGGCGACGAUCCCUAGCUGGUCUGAGAGGAUGACCAGCCACACUGGAACUGAGACACGGUCCAGACUCCUACGGGAGGCAGCAGUGGGGAAUAUUGCACAAUGGGCGCAAGCCUGAUGCAGCCAUGCCGCGUGUAUGAAGAAGGCCUUCGGGUUGUAAAGUACUUUCAGCGAGGAGGAAGGCAUUAAGGUUAAUAACCUUGGUGAUUGACGUUACUCGCAGAAGAAGCACCGGCUAACUCCGUGCCAGCAGCCGCGGUAAUACGGAGGGUGCAAGCGUUAAUCGGAAUUACUGGGCGUAAAGCGCACGCAGGCGGUCUGUCAAGUCGGAUGUGAAAUCCCCGGGCUCAACCUGGGAACUGCAUUCGAAACUGGCAGGCUAGAGUCUUGUAGAGGGGGGUAGAAUUCCAGGUGUAGCGGUGAAAUGCGUAGAGAUCUGGAGGAAUACCGGUGGCGAAGGCGGCCCCCUGGACAAAGACUGACGCUCAGGUGCGAAAGCGUGGGGAGCAAACAGGAUUAGAUACCCUGGUAGUCCACGCCGUAAACGAUGUCGACUUGGAGGUUGUGCCCUUGAGGCGUGGCUUCCGGAGCUAACGCGUUAAGUCGACCGCCUGGGGAGUACGGCCGCAAGGUUAAAACUCAAAUGAAUUGACGGGGGCCCGCACAAGCGGUGGAGCAUGUGGUUUAAUUCGAUGCAACGCGAAGAACCUUACCUACUCUUGACAUCCAGAGAACUUAGCAGAGAUGCUUUGGUGCCUUCGGGAACUCUGAGACAGGUGCUGCAUGGCUGUCGUCAGCUCGUGUUGUGAAAUGUUGGGUUAAGUCCCGCAACGAGCGCAACCCUUAUCCUUUGUUGCCAGCGGUCCGGCCGGGAACUCAAAGGAGACUGCCAGUGAUAAACUGGAGGAAGGUGGGGAUGACGUCAAGUCAUCAUGGCCCUUACGAGUAGGGCUACACACGUGCUACAAUGGCAUAUACAAAGAGAAGCGACCUCGCGAGAGCAAGCGGACCUCAUAAAGUAUGUCGUAGUCCGGAUUGGAGUCUGCAACUCGACUCCAUGAAGUCGGAAUCGCUAGUAAUCGUAGAUCAGAAUGCUACGGUGAAUACGUUCCCGGGCCUUGUACACACCGCCCGUCACACCAUGGGAGUGGGUUGCAAAAGAAGUAGGUAGCUUAACCUUCGGGAGGGCGCUUACCACUUUGUGAUUCAUGACUGGGGUGAAGUCGUAACAAGGUAACCGUAGGGGAACCUGCGGCUGGAUCACCUCCUUAAUCGAAUUCCCGCGGCC